rnacentral:rRNA from 1 species
AAAUUGAAGAGUUUGAUCAUGGCUCAGAUUGAACGCUGGCGGCAGGCCUAACACAUGCAAGUCGAACGGUAGCACAGAGAGCUUGCUCUCGGGUGACGAGUGGCGGACGGGUGAGUAAUGUCUGGGAAACUGCCCGAUGGAGGGGGAUAACUACUGGAAACGGUAGCUAAUACCGCAUAACGUCGCAAGACCAAAGUGGGGGACCUUCGGGCCUCACACCAUCGGAUGUGCCCAGAUGGGAUUAGCUAGUAGGUGGGGUAACGGCUCACCUAGGCGACGAUCCCUAGCUGGUCUGAGAGGAUGACCAGCCACACUGGAACUGAGACACGGUCCAGACUCCUACGGGAGGCAGCAGUGGGGAAUAUUGCACAAUGGGCGCAAGCCUGAUGCAGCCAUGCCGCGUGUAUGAAGAAGGCCUUCGGGUUGUAAAGUACUUUCAGCGAGGAGGAAGGCGUUGUGGUUAAUAACCACAGCGAUUGACGUUACUCGCAGAAGAAGCACCGGCUAACUCCGUGCCAGCAGCCGCGGUAAUACGGAGGGUGCAAGCGUUAAUCGGAAUUACUGGGCGUAAAGCGCACGCAGGCGGUUUGUUAAGUCAGAUGUGAAAUCCCCGGGCUCAACCUGGGAACUGCAUUUGAAACUGGCAGGCUUGAGUCU